rnacentral:rRNA from 1 species
UUGAACGCUAGCGGGAUGCCUUACACAUGCAAGUCGAACGGCAGCACGGACUUCGGUCUGGUGGCGAGUGGCGAACGGGUGAGUAAUGUAUCGGAACGUGCCCAGUAGCGGGGGAUAACUACGCGAAAGCGUAGCUAAUACCGCAUACGCCCUACGGGGGAAAGCAGGGGAUCGCAAGACCUUGCACUAUUGGAGCGGCCGAUAUCGGAUUAGCUAGUUGGUGGGGUAACGGCUCACCAAGGCGACGAUCCGUAGCUGGUUUGAGAGGACGACCAGCCACACUGGGACUGAGACACGGCCCAGACUCCUACGGGAGGCAGCAGUGGGGAAUUUUGGACAAUGGGGGAAACCCUGAUCCAGCCAUCCCGCGUGUGCGAUGAAGGCCUUCGGGUUGUAAAGCACUUUUGGCAGGAAAGAAACGUCGCGGGUUAAUACCCCGCGAAACUGACGGUACCUGCAGAAUAAGCACCGGCUAACUACGUG